rnacentral:rRNA from 1 species
GAUGAACGCUGGCGGCGUGCUUAACACAUGCAAGUCGAACGAAGCACUUUAACUUGAUUUCUUCGGAUUGAUUGUUUCUGUGACUGAGUGGCGACGGGUGAGUAACGCGUGGGUAACCUGCCUCAUACAGGGGGAGUAACAGUUGGAACGACUGCUAAUACCGCAUAAGCGCACAGGACCGCAUGGUCCGGUGUGAAAAACUACCGGUGGUAUGAGAUGGACCCGCGUCUGAUUAGCUAGUUGGUGAGGUAACGGCCCGACCCAAGGACGACGAUCAGUAGCCGACUUGAGAGGGUGACCGGCCACAUU